UUUUGCUUCACUCUCUUCUCUCUCCCACACCCCCGUCCAACACAACCGUCAAUGGCGGUCGCAACCGCAACGGCAUCGACCGUCGUGUUCCACAGGCGUAUGUUAGAAUCAACAACGGCCUCUUCACGAACUACUAACCCUAACAGAACCCUAACGAUCUCUUCUUCUCCAUCUUCUUCUUCUUCAAGGGCCUCUCUUUCAACUUGCUUCCUCUCUCCCUUCGUCGGCGGAGGAAUCAGGAUAAUAGUUUUUGUCAUUGCUUCCAAAGCUUCCUAACAGAUUGUGAAUUUAGAAAGUUUCCCCAAGUCUGUUUACUGUGUUGGACUGGAUGAGGGAGGUGUUUAUGUGUUGGAGUAUAUGCAUCUUCUUAUUAAUGUUAACCAUGUCCAUGACUCCAUGCUAAGAAAAGAAGCAGUUUGCUUUCUAUGUAUUUAUGUAUGCUUCUGUAAAUAUUCAUAUGCAUGUGAUCGCAUGAAUAGUGCGCUUUAAAUGCUCUAUAGGGCAAUACAUUUAUCAUUGCCAACUCCAAAGUCUACUGGCUGAUAGUGCGAGCAAGGACUUGUUUAAUUCUGACGAGUAGGAUAUUUAUAUGUAGUGGAGCAUAUAUUAUAGUGGUAAUAGUUUAUUAAUGACCUCUAUUUAAGUGUGUUCUCUGCUUUGUGAUUUUAAAUUAAGCUCAGUGGCAUUUAUGAAUGCAACAAGUAAACCUUCCCAAAUCCCACCCAUGAGGAAAUUCUUGCGUAUAUUUUACACCACUGUAGGUAUGUCAAGCCACCUCUAUUUACUCUCUGUGUUGGUAAUGCUCGGGGAGAAGCAGCCAUGCUUUUGGCUGCUGGUUCAAGGGAAAACCGCUCUGCUUUACCCUCAUCAACGAUCAACGAUCAUGAUAAAGCGGGUAUUUUUGUGAUAGGUGGUACUCUAUUCUAUCCCAUCUUAUAUCUUGCUAGUUUUUCUUUCUUGACUGCAAUCAGUCUCUAGAAUUCAGAAUCAAAUUUUUCUGCACUUUCUCUAUCAAUCUACAGCCAAUUGGGAGAUUUCAAGGUCAAGCAACAGGUGUUGAACUUGCAAGGAAAGAAAUAAAGAAAGUGAAAGCAGAAUUGCAGAGCUGGAUGUGGGAUAAUGGUUGCAAUUUUCCAUGAGGAGCCACGACCUCAUCCUGACCUCCCCUAACAAGGUAGCUCGGUGAUCUUGAGAGUUGGGUUGGGUAGCAUGGGUCUCAUCUCACCUUGUUCUGGGGCACAAUGGGCUUGGUGGGCUUUGCUCCAAAGCUCACAGACUGUAUUGGUGGGCAAGGAAAAAACAAAUUCAGGUCGAGUGGCGCUAAUGACUGGGUUGGUUUUAUACAUUUUACUUGUACAUUUGUAUUACAGGAUACAGAAGCUGUCAGAACAAUGCCUGUUUGGCCUGCUCACAGUUGCAAGUGGAAGUUUAAAUGAUAGCCAGCAAAUACAACUGCAGGCUUGCUUGCACAUGUUUGUGUGUGUGUCUGUGUGCAAGCACACACUGGAGGGAGGGAGUUUAUGUUUUGCCUAUGGGGGAAGAAACUGGGGGUGUGAAGAGGGAGAACUUCCUUUUGGCUUCCCAAAAGUAACUGAUACUUGAUCUUAAUCAAAGGUUUAGACACUUGGUUCAAAACAUAAACAAUUUAAUUUCUGGAAGAAAAUGACUUAGCAUCACUUCCACAAUUGAGAAGGCUUUAGAAAUUUGCUCUCUUAUCAAAUGCAUUUUGGCUGAGCAGCCUGCGCUCACAUUUCAACUGCUGCUGCUGCUGCUGCUGCUGUUAUUCUGCAUGGAAAGUUUUAAGAUGCUCGAUUUAUGGCACUUGUGAUUUCUUGCACUACAUUUGUAAAUGCUCGAUUUUCUGAUGGCAGUGCCAAACUUGAUGUAUUUAGUUAGAUAGUCAUGCGGUGACCACAAGACUUCAUUGAUCAUUUUUUAGAAAAUUUGAUGCUGAACAUGCUUUUUCAUGGCAUUGUAAUGAAAUAAUUUUUACUUCCAA